rnacentral:misc_RNA from 1 species
GAUGAAGAACGCAGCGAAAUGCGAUAAGUAAUGUGAAUUGCAGAAUUCAGUGAACCAUCGAAUCUUUGAACGCACAUCGCGCCCUCUGGUAUUCCGGGGGGCAUGCCUGUUCGAGCGUCAUUUCACCACUCAAGCCUCGCUUGGUAUUGGGCAACGCGGUCCGCCGCGUGCCUCAAAUCGACCGGCUGGGUCUUCUGUCCCCUAAGCGUUGUGGAAACUAUUCGCUAAAGGGUGUUCGGGAGGCUACGCCGUAAAACAACCCCAUUUCUAAGGUUGACCUCGGAUCAGGUAGGGAUACCCGCUGAACUUAAGCAUAUCAAUAAGCGGAGGA